rnacentral:rRNA from 1 species
AGCGAACGCUGGCGGCAGGCUUAACACAUGCAAGUCGAACGGUCCUUCGGGAUAGUGGCGGACGGGUGAGUAACACGUGGGAAACGUACCCUUAGGUUCGGAACAACACAGGGAAACUUGUGCUAAUACCGGAUGAGCCCUUCGGGGGAAAGAUUUAUCGCCUUUGGAGCAGCCCGCGCCUGAUUAGCUUGUUGGUGAGGUAAUGGCUCACCAAGGCUACGAUCAGUAGCUGGUCUGAGAGGGUGGCCAGCCACACUGGGACUGAGACACGGCCCAGACUCCUACGGGAGGCAGCAGUGGGGAAUCUUGCGCAAUGGGCGAAAGCCUGACGCAGCCAUGCCGCGUGGAUGAUGAAGGUCUUAGGAUUGUAAAAUCCUUUCACCGGGGACGAUAAUGACGGUACCCGGAGAAGAAGCCCCGGCUAACUUCGUGCCAGCCGCCGCAGUAACAC